rnacentral:rRNA from 1 species
AAAAAAAAGAGUUUGAUCCUGGCUCAGAAUCAACGCUGGCGGCGUGCCUAAUACAUGCAAGUCGAACGCGAAAGUGGAGCAAUCCAUGAGUAGAGUGGGCAAACGGGUGAGUAACGCGUGGGUGACCUGCCUUUCGAGUGGGGGAUAACGUUCCGAAAGGGACGCUAAUACCGCAUGACAUCCUGCCUUUUAAGAGGUGGCGAUCAAAGCCGGGGAUCGUAAGACCUGGCGCUUGAAGAGGGGCCCGCGUCCGAUUAGCUAGUUGGUGGGGUAACGGCUCACCAAGCGACGAUCGGUAGCCGGCCUGAGAGGGCGGACGGCCACACUGGGACUGAGACACGGCCCAGACUCCUACGGGAGGCAGCAGUAGGGAAUUGUUCGCAAUGGGCGCAAGCCUGACGACGCAACGCCGCGUGGAGGAUGAAGAUCUUCGGGUCGCAAAACUCCUUUCGAUCGAGACGAAUGAUCUUCGGACUAACAAUCCG